rnacentral:rRNA from 1 species
GACGAACGCUGGCGGCGUGCUUAACACAUGCAAGUCGAACGGAAAGGCCCUGCUUUUGUGGGGUGCUCGAGUGGCGAACGGGUGAGUAACACGUGAGUAACCUGCCCUUGACUUUGGGAUAACUUCAGGAAACUGGGGCUAAUACCGGAUAGGAGCUCCUGCUGCAUGGUGGGGGUUGGAAAGUUUCGGCGGUUGGGGAUGGACUCGCGGCUUAUCAGCUUGUUGGUGGGGUAGUGGCUUACCAAGGCUUUGACGGGUAGCCGGCCUGAGAGGGUGACCGGCCACAUUGGGACUGAGAUACGGCCCAGACGCCUACGGGAGGCAGCAGUGGGGAAUAUUGCACAAUGGGCGGAAGCCUGAUGCAGAAACGCCGCGUGCGGGAUGACGGCCUUCGGGUUGUAAACCGCUUUCGCAUGUGACGAAGCGUGAGUGACGGUAAUGGGUAAAGAAGCACCGGCUAACUACGUG